rnacentral:rRNA from 1 species
UACGUAGGGGGCAAGCGUUGUCCGGAAUCAUUGGGCGUAAAGAGCGUGUAGGCGGCUUUACAGGUCCGUUGUGAAAACUCGAGGCUCAACCUCGAGACGCCGGUGGAAACCGUAAAGCUAGAGUCCGGAAGAGGAGAGUGGAAUUCCUGGUGUAGCGGUGAAAUGCGCAGAUAUCAGGAGGAACACCGGUGGCGAAGGCGCCACUCUGGGCCGAAACUGACGCUGAGGAGCGAAAGCGUGGGUAGCAAACAGG